AACGAACGCUGGCGGCAUGCCUAACACAUGCAAGUCGAACGAGACCUUCGGGUCUAGUGGCGCACGGGUGCGUAACGCGUGGGAACCUGCCCUUAGGUUCGGAAUAACUCCCCGAAAGGGGUGCUAAUACCGGAUAAUGUCUUCGGACCAAAGAUUUAUCGCCUUUGGAUGGGCCCGCGUUGGAUUAGCUAGUUGGUAGGGUAAAAGCCUACCAAGGCGACGAUCCAUAGCUGGUCUGAGAGGAUGAUCAGCCACACUGGGACUGAGACACGGCCCAGACUCCUACGGGGGGCAGCAGUGGGGAAUAUUGGACAAUGGGCGAAAGCCUGAUCCAGCAAUGCCGCGUGAGUGAUGAAGGCCUUAGGGUUGUAAAGCUCUUUGACCCGGGAUGAUAAUGACAGUACCGGGAGAAUAAGCUCCGGCUAACUCC
rnacentral:rRNA from 1 species